rnacentral:lncRNA from 1 species
UGCUAAGAGUUGCUUUGUGGACUCAAUGUGCUCUAUUUUAGAGGAUGUUCCAUGUGCUACUGAAAAGAAAGUGUAUCGAUUUGUUGAUGGAUAAAAUAUUCUACAUAUGUCUGUCAAAACUAAAUUAUUAAUUGUAUUUUUUUAGGUCUAAGGCUUCUUUCUUUAGUUUUUGAUUUGAAGAUCCAUCCAUUGGUGAGAGAGGAAUGUUGAAGUAAUGCAGUAUUAUUGUGUUGUGAUCUAUUUGAUUCUUGAGAUUAUGAAAGAUUGGUUUGAUGUACGUAUGUACACCAUUGGUUUGGGGCCUAAAUAUUUAAGAUUGUUAUGUCUUGUUGAAGUAUAGUUUUCUUAGGCAUGUGAAAUAGCCUUCUUUGUCCCUUCUGAUUAAUUUUGACUUGAAGUACACUUUAUCAGAUAUGAGGUUAGAAACCCCUGCUUGCUUGCGAGGUCUAUGUGAAUGGUACAUAUUUUGCUAUCCUUUUAUCUUCAGUCUGUGGAUGUCUUUUCCUAUGAGGGGAGUCUCUUGGAGGCAGCAUAUUGUUGGGUCUUGUGGUCUUGACUUUUAGUUCAAUCUGCCAAUCUAGGUCUUUUGAUUGAUGAGUUUAGACUGUAUACAUUCAAUAUUAUUAUUGAGAAGUGAUUCUUAUUCCCUGUCAUUUUGAAUUCUUUCCAGUUUUUAAUUUGAAAUAGCUUCUUUUUUGAUGGACUGUACUUCUAGUGUAGUUUCCCCCUUUGCUGGAUUUCAUUUUAAUUUUAUAUUUCUUCUUCAAGAAAUAUUUGGUUGCAAAUGUUUUGUGGUGCAGGCUUUUUGGUUGUGAAUUUUUUUUUGUUUAUCAUGGAAGGUUUUUAUUUCAUCCUCAAUAUAAAGCUUAGUUUUGGAGGGUAUAGUAUUUUUGGCUGGAAUCCAUAUACUUUCAGAGUUUGGUACAUGUUAUUCCAAGACCUCCUAGCUUUAAAGGUCUGAGUUGACAAUUCAGCUGAGAUCUGAAUUAGUUUCCCUCUAAAUGUUACUUGAUUUUUUUCCCUCUGGAAACCCUUAGAAUUCAAUCCUUAAUCUGUAUGUUAGAUAUCUUCAUAAUAAUAUGCCUUGGUGUGGACCUGUUGUCAUGUUUUAUAUUUGGGGUCCUAUACGUUUCCUGUAUUUGAUUUUUCAGUUCAUUCUUAAGGUUUGGGAAAUUUUCAGACAUUAUUUCAUUGAAAAGAUUGUGCAUUCCUUUGGUUUGUAUCUGCUAGCCUUCAUCUAUCCUGAUAAAUCUUAAUUUUUUUUUCAUGUAAUCCCAUAUUUCCUGGAAGUCUGUUCAUAGUCUCUUAACAUUUUUU